rnacentral:rRNA from 1 species
UACGUAGGGGGCAAGCGUUGUCCGGAAUCAUUGGGCGUAAAGCGCGUGUAGGCGGCUCGAUAAGUCUGCUGUGAAAGUCCAGGGCUCAACCCUGGAAUGCCGGUGGAAACUGUCGGGCUAGAGUCCGGAAGGGGCGAGUGGAAUUCCUGGUGUAGCGGUGAAAUGCGCAGAUAUCAGGAGGAACACCAAUGGCGAAGGCAGCUCGCUGGGACGUGACUGACGCUGAGACGCGAAAGCGUGGGGGAGCAAACAGG